rnacentral:pre_miRNA from 1 species
AUGUCCCCAUGAGUUCCCUUUAACGCUUCAUUGUAAAUACUCAGAAAACCAUUUAUUUGAUUAUGUAAUUAACACUGAAGUGUUUGGGGGGACUCUUGGUGCCAU